rnacentral:rRNA from 1 species
AACGAACGCUGGCGGCAUGCCUAACACAUGCAAGUCGAACGAGACCUUCGGGUCUAGUGGCGCACGGGUGCGUAAAGCGUGGGAACCUGCCCUUAGGUUCGGAAUAACUCUCCGAAAGGGGUGCUAAUACCGGAUAAUGUCUUCGGACAAAAGAUUUAUCGCCUUUGGAUGGGCCGGCGUUGGAUUAGCUAGUUGGUAGGGUAAAAGCCUACGAAGGCGACGAUCCAUAGCUGGUCUGAGAGGAUGAUCAGCCACACUGGGACGGGGACACGGCGCAGACUCUUACGGGAGGCAGCAGUGGGGAAUAUUGGACAAUGGGCUAAAUCCUGAUCCAGCAAUGCCUCUUGAGUGAUGAAGUCCUGAGGGUUGUAAAGCUCUUUUACCCGUGAUGAUAAUGACAGUACCGAGAGAAUAAGCACCGGCUAACUCCGUG